rnacentral:rRNA from 1 species
AUUGAACGCUGGCGGCGUGCCUAACACAUGCGAGUCGAGCGAAUUUUAGGGGGCUUGCUCCCUAGGGUUAGCGGCGCACGGGUGAGUAACACGUGGAUAAUCUACCCAUCAGUAAGGGAUAACAGUUGGAAACGACUGCUAAUACCGGAUACGAGCGAUUUUUAACUUUCGCUGAAAGGCGGUGCAAGCUGUCGCUGAUGGAUGAGUACGCGGCUCAUUAGGUAGUUGGUAGGGUAAUGGCCUACCAAGCCUGGGAUGAGUGGCCGGCCUGAGAGGGUGAACGGCCACACUGGGACUGGAACACGGCCCAGACUCCUACGGGAGGCAGCAGUGGGGAAUAUUGCGCAAUGGGCGAAAGCCUGACGCAGCGACGCCGCGUGAGGGAUGAAGGCCUUCGGGUCGUAAACCUCUGUCAGAAGGGAAGAAGUGCAUGGGUAGUAACUGACCCAUGUUUGACGGUACCUUCAGAGGAAGCACCGGCUAACUCCGUGCCAGCCGCCGCCGUAA